rnacentral:rRNA from 1 species
CCUUCUGGACAGUACUGACGCUGAGAUGCGAAAGCGUGGGGAGCAAACAGGAUUAGAUACCCUGGUAGUCACGCUGUAAACGAUGUCGAUUUGGAGUUUGUUGCCUAGAGUGAUGGGCUCCGAAGCUAACGCGAUAAAUCGACCGCCUGGGGAGUACGGCCGCAAGGUCAAAACUCAAAUGAAUUGACGGGGGCCCGCACAAGCGGUGGAGCAUGUGGUUUAAUUCGAUGCAACGCGAAGAACCUUACCUGGUCUUGACAUCCAUAGAAUUCUGCAGAGAUGUGGGAGUGCCUUCGGGAACUAUGAGACAGGUGCUGCAUGGCUGUCGUCAGCUCGUGUUGUGAAAUGUUGGGUUAAGUCCCGCAACGAGCGCAACCCUUAUUCUUUGUUGCCAGCGAUUUGGUCGGGAACUCAAAGGAGACUGCCGUUGAUAAAGCGGAGGAAGGUGGGGACGACGUCAAGUCAUCAUGGCCCUUACGACCAGGGCUACACACGUGCUACAAUGGCGUAUACAAAGGGAAGCGAAGGUGCGAGCUGGAGCGGAUCUCAUAAAGUACGUCUAAGUUCGGAUUGGAGUCUGCAACUCGACUCCAUGAAGUCGGAAUCGCUAGUAAUCGUAGAUCAGAAUGCUACGGUGAAUACGUUCCCGGGCCUUGUACACACCGCCCGUCACACCAUGGGAGUGGGUUGCACCAGAAGUAGAUAGCUUAACCGCGAGGGGGGCGUUUACCACGGUGUGAUUCAUGACUGGGGUGAAGUCGUAACAAGGUAACCA